AUGUCAUCACCGAUCGAUUACAUCUUCAUGAACUCUCGCGACAAAUGUGUCGUGGAUAUCAUCAACAUUCUGAGCUCUUCCAAGAGAUCUAUUGAAAUCAUGAUGAGAAAUACCAUCCUUGCCCUCGAUGAUUGGUGUUAUCAGCGACAACAUUAUUGCUUUCCCUCCAACACAAAACUUGUUCCUGUAUUGUGUUGUACCUUGAGUUCCUUGCUAUCCAACUUAUGUUAUAUUCUACCGCGGAGUAUUACCAUCUUUGAUGUUAAGAAUGUUGUGAGGAUUGCUCCACCUCUUAAGAAUUCUUGCUAUAAUGAUACUUCUCACCAUCACCAUUCUUUCUUGGUCCUCGUGUUGAUUCCAACCGGGGUACCCACAAGUGAACGGUGUUGUUUGGAUUAUGCACUUCUAGCAACCCUAUUGCUUUGA
rnacentral:rRNA from 1 species